CCUACGGGGUGCACCAGUGGGGAAUAUUGCACAACGGGCGCAAGCCUGAUGCAGCCAUGCCGCGUGUAUGAAGAAGGCCUUCGGGUUGUAAGGUACUUUCAGCGAGGAGGAAGGCGAUAAGGUUAAUAACCUUGUCGAUUGACGUUACUCGCAGAAGAAGCACCGGCUAACUCCGUGCCAGCAGACGCGGUAAUACGGAGGGUGCAAGCGUUAAUCGGAAUUACUGGGCGUAAAGCGCACGCAGGCGGUCUGUCAAGUCGGAUGUGAAAUCCCCGGGCUCAACCUGGGAACUGCAUUCGAAACUGGCAGGCUAGAGUCUUGUAGAGGGGGGUAGAAUUCCAGGGGUAGCGGUGAAAUGCGUAGAGAUCUGGAGGAAUACCGGUGGCGAAGGCGGCCCCCUGGACAAAGACUGACGCUCAGGUGCGAAAGCGUGGGGAGCAAACAGGAUUAGAUACCCCCGUAGUC
rnacentral:rRNA from 1 species